CCUACGGGAGGCAGCAGUAGGGAAUCUUUCACAAUGGGCGAAAGCCUGAUGGAGCAACGCCGCGUGCAGGAUGAAGGCCUUCGGGUUGUAAACUGCUCUUAUAAGCGAGAAAUAUGAUGGUAACUUAUGAAUAAGGAUCGGCUAACUACGUGCCAGCAGCCGCGGUCAUACGUAGGAUCCGAGCAUUAUCCGGAGUGACUGGGUGUAAAGAGUUGCGUAGGUGGCAUAAUAAGUAGCUAGUGAAAUCUGGUGGCUCAACCAUUCAGACUAUUAGCUAAACUGUUAAGCUCGAGACCGUUAGGGGUAACUGGAAUUUCUAGUGUAGGAGUGAAAUCCGUAGAUAUUAGAAGGAACACCAAUAGCGUAGGCAGGUUGCUGGGACGGUUCUGACACUAAGGCACGAAAGCGUAGGGAGCAAACGGGAUUAGAUACCCGAGUAGUC
rnacentral:rRNA from 1 species